rnacentral:rRNA from 1 species
AACCUCCGCAAUGUGAGAAAUCGCGACGGGGGGAUCCCAAGUGCCAUUCUUAACGGGAUGGCUUUUCAUUAGUGUAAAGAGCUUUUGGAAUAAGAGCUGGGCAAGACCGGUGCCAGCCGCCGCGGUAACACCGGCAGCUCUAGUGGUAACAAUUUUUAUUGGGCCUAAAGCGUCCGUAGCCGGUUUAAUAAGUCUCUGGUGAAAUCCUGUAGCUUAACUGUGGGAAUUGCUGGAGAUACUAUUAGACUUGAGACCGGGAGAGGUUAGAGGUACUCCCAGGGUAGAGGUGAAAUUCUGUAAUCCUGGGAGGACCGCCUGUUGCGAAGGCGUCUAACUGGGACGGUUCUGACGGUGAGGGACGAAAGUUAGGGGCGCGAACCGGAUUAGAUACCCGGGUAGUCCUAACUGUAAACGAUGCGGACUUGGUGUUGGGGUGGCUUUGAGCUGCUCCAGUGCCGAAGGGAAGCUGUUAAGUCCGCCGCCUGGGAAGUACGGUCGCAAGACUGAAACUUAAAGGAAGU